rnacentral:rRNA from 1 species
GGGUCAGUAGGUUGGUCGUGCCACCGGUACGUACUGGUCUCACUGAUUCCUCCUUCCUGAAGAACCGUAAUGCCAUUAAUUUGGUGUUGCGGGGAAACAGGACCGUUACUUUGAAAAAAUUAGGGUGUUUAAAGCAAGCUAACGCUUGAAUACAUUAGCAUGGAAUAAUGAAAUAGGACGAUCGAUCCUAUUUUGUUGGUUUCUAGGAUUGACGUA